GUGGGAUGCCAGCCCCAAGUCCUGCUGGGAAAAGCCUGAGCUCCACCUUCCCCGCCGCGAGCGGAGACGAACAGAAAGGUCAACAGCAAAGCCUCAGUGGGCGAGAGAGAGUGGCGGGGUUAAUCGGCGCGAGCUCGGCAAUCCUGUUACCAUGACGUCUGCUGACAAGUUCGGAGAGAUGCUCAGAUUUCCAGGGUUGGGCCUGUGCACUUCUCGUAGGCCUGGCGCCGCAGGCCAGCUUACGCAACGCCGCCUUCCAGAGAACCUCUGAAGUGUUUACGGUGUCCGCUGACGUGCUGGAGGGCCGUGAGCGGGGGCCUGCUGGGCCCGAAAGCGCUGGGACACCGUCACCGUGCUCUGCUGGAUCAUUCCGGGCUCCUGCAGCCACAGUCAUUAUACAGAUAUUAUUAAGGUUCUCUUCUUUGUCCAAAGUGAGGAGAACAUGGGGUCCAAGCGCAGGAUCUGGGGUUAAGAGUCUUACUCAAGGGCCCAAUGGUGAUGCGAUCACUCUGCUGGUCACUGGAUUUAAACCCACAACCUUCCGGACAUUGGCGCCGACCUCUAGCCCACUGACAUACACGCCACCUGUUCUCUUUUAUUUCAGGUCAGAGCCACAGAAAACAUCAGUCUGUAUGUGGCCUGGCUCUCUCCUCCAUUCCACUCCAGUUAAUGGUGGAAUUUAGGAGAGAUACUGACAGGAUUGCAGCCCACACACUCCGCUCCAUACCUGCUCACCCCUCGGCCCGUGGGAUAUUUAUACUCCUCAGGAGUGGCUUCCACAGACACAGACAAGCAACACAAGGAGCAACCAGAAGAGAAAUAAUGCAUGAGUGUAUAUUUUUCUGUGUCUGUGUAGCAGACACUUUUACCCAAAGCAAUGUAUAUUUUUGAAGAAGCAGGAUCAACUGGGGUUAGAGAGCCUCACUCACAGGCCCAAUGCUGACAUCACUUUGCCAACUCCGGGAUUUGAACCAACAACCACCCGACCACAGACACAGCAUCUUGUAUGGCAUUUGUGCGAUUCUCUAGUUAGGACUUUGAAUUCGCCCCCUGUCCCAAGGAUCAUCUGCCCGCCCCAUACGUGUGUCUGAAGGGGAUUGCAUAUUAGCCCUGGAAAUCUCCACAGUAACAGACGGGACAAGUGGACAGCAUCUAAGAGCUCUGUGCUGGCAGUACAUCAAGCAACAAGAAAACAGCGAGUCAGCACAGGUAAGCAAUGGGAGAGACUCCCUUCCAGACCCUUCCCAGCUGAUCCCAUUUUACCAUAACAGGCACAGUUCCACGGCAGUGUGACAUCACCCACAUUCAAGCACAUUCUAUUGUUUUCCAAAAAAAAAAAACAAACGUUCUAUUGGUUUCCCUCCUCCUGGGUCAUGAUACAUGAACCCAUGCAUGUUUUUUAAACAUUCCUUUGUGAAAAAAAUCUGAAAUACCACUGAUCAGAAGUAGAAAGAGGUUAUUGGAUCGCUGGGAAUUUUUGUCAAGAAACUCUGCCCCACUAUCAGCCGGACCCUGUCGAUCGUGGCUUUUACAUUUUAUUUAUUUAGCAUGUUUACAUUUCAGUGAUAUAUAUAGUUUGAGAAAGCAGGGUAUCUGGAGUGAUUUGGGAUUGAGCCCUUUGCUCAAGGGCCCAGCAGUGAAAUCAUUCUGCUGACCCUGGGAUCUGAACCAACAACCACCCUUUUUUUUGUCAGUCAGUGUUAGCUAUGUUCAGGUAGGUAGUUUAUCUGGGUAGUGCUGCCAUGUGGUAGUUUUUUGGGCUUGGUGCAGCAAUGUGCUGAGACAGCUUCUUGCAGGCUGACGCCAAUGACCAGUGUGUCCUGGUACCGUGAGUCACUCUUGUGCCUCCCCACCAAGCAACUUUGAAUGCGUGACAGGAGUGAAUUUCAGUCCUGAGGGCAGUCAGUCUGCCUCCUCUCCUGGCCUGUGCGUCUCGGAGCACAGAUGGUAGCCACCUACAGCUAUAAGUUAUUUGACUGCCCAAAGUAAUCGGCAGCACAGAAAUGCUAAUGAGUUAGAUAUUAAAUUUCACCUCACACUCUAGUAUUAUAUGGGGGCUGGUGUAUGAUUCAGCAGGCUGCAGCUCUAUGCCCAUGUGCAGAAGAUUAUUUAAAGGUUACUGAAAAUGAAUAGAUGAAUGUAUAUUUGUACAGAUUAUCACAUAUGAUGAGUAAAUGUAUGUACAACUCUGUUUCCAAGAAAGUUGGGACGAUGUGUAAAAUGUGAAUAAAGACAGAAUGCAAUGAUUUGCAAAUCAUAUAAACCCAUAUUUAAUUGAAAAUAAGGCAAGAUAUGCAAUGUUGAGACCAGAGUGUCGCUUCACAUCUUCUUUU